rnacentral:tRNA from 1 species
AGGAAGGUUCCGUUUGUAGGUAUGACGGGUUGAGCUGUAAACUCAAUAGCUUUAUAGCUGUCGAAGGUUCGAGUCCUUUUCUUCCUA